AAACGAGACUUACCUGUAAGGUGAAGUUUGAUUUUGUCUCUGCGAAUCAAUGGUCAAAUUUCACUUUACAGGUAAGUCUCGUUUAAUAUUUCA
rnacentral:miRNA from 1 species